GUAUUAUCCAAGAAGCAUCUCUUUUUUCUUUCUCAAACCUUAAGAUUCUCAUCUCCUGACUUAUUAGACAAGUGGAAGUGCGAUUGUAAGUGUUGUAAUUAUCCAAGCUUUCCAGCCAAUAACAACUUCGUAAAUACAAUAAUAUCCGAGGAUGUUUUAGACAACCUCAAUAUCAGUAUCUGUAUUAAGAGUAUUGGCUAUAAAUAAAAAGGGUAUAGGAGAGGCAUUGGCCAUGUAAAACACAAUAUUUUUCAGUAUGAAAGCUUUAGUGAUAGCUAUUCUUAUAGCUACCAUUGCCUUCUCUCCUUUAUCCAUGGCAGCUCGAGAAUUGGUCGACUAUGGAAAAGUUAGCGUUACCGUCAAUGAUGGGAGCAAUGGCAGGAUUUGGAUGCCACCCCCAUCACCGGUGACUAAUUGUAGACCCAACCAACGCUGCUACCCUCCACCAACAAAUGAUUAGUGCUGUAGUCUUGCAAUGAAAUUGUAAUCAGCUGCUGGUGGAAUUAAUUUUGAAGUUUAUCUAAAAAACUCAUUUGGUUUUUCUAAGCGCUCGUAUAAUGUAUUAAUAUUAUAAUUAUUCCAAGUCUUUUGAAUUAUCUCUAGUAUAAAUAUAUUUGUUGAAAGCGUUGUAAUCUAAGUACAUGUCAAAGGGACUUCCUCUCUUGAAAAAGUAAUAUGGUAUGAAUGGAAUAUGUUUCCAUCGUAUUUCCCUCGACA